GUCAGGCCACUCAGCUCUCUCACCAUGCGAUUGCCCUGCAACACCUUGGAACUCUGCAGAGAGUCCCCAGCAGGAAGGUCUCACCUGAGGUGAACCUUCGACCUUGGACUUCUCAGCCUCCAGAAUGAAGAAUGGCAACCAUCAAAUCAAGAAAUUGGCCCAAAGCCCUACAGUCUGCAAACGUAAGUGAUAAAACUAGGAUUUU
rnacentral:lncRNA from 10 species